GUGUCGCGAGUGAAGCGGCGGGGUGACCCAGCCGUGGACGCGACACGAGUGAGAAUGCAGGCAUGAGUAGCGAAAGACGUGUGAGAAACACGUCCUCCGAAAGACCAAGGGUUCCAGGGUCAAGCUAAUCUUCCCUGGGUAAGUCGGGACCUAAGGCGAGGCCGACAGGCGUAGUCGAUGGACAACGGGUUGAUAUUCCCGUACCGGCGAAGAACCGCCCAAGCUAAUCCAGUGGUGCUAAGAGUCCUAGCACAGAAUUUUCCGGAUCCCUUCGGGGUGAUGGUUGUCUGUGUGAACGCUCGACCCCAUGCUGGUGCGGCUAGCGUAUUAACAGGUGUGACGCAGGAAGGUAGCCCAAGCCAGGCGAUGGUAGUCCUGGUGCAAGUGCGUAGGCCGAGUGAUAGGCAAAUCCGUCACUCAUACAGGCUGAGACACGAUGCGGAUAAAAAGUGGGUGAUCCUAUGCUGCCGAGAAAAGCAUCGACGCGAGGUUCUAGCCGCCCGUACCCCAAACCGACUCAGGUGGUCAGGUAGAGAAUACCAAGGAGAUCGAGAGAAUCGUGGUUAAGGAACUCGGCAAAAUGCCCCCGUAACUUCGGGAGAAGGGGGGCCAUCCACUUAUUAGGACUUGCUCCGAAAGGGUGUGGUGGCCGCAGAGACUAGUGGGUAGCGACUGUUUACUAAAAACACAGGUCCGUGCCAAGUCGCAAGACGAUGUAUACGGACUGACGCCUGCCCGGUGCUGGAAGGUUAAGAGGACCGGUUAGCCGCAAGGCGAAGCUGAGAAUUUAAGCCCCAGUAAACGGCGGUGGUAACUAUAACCAUCCUAAGGUAGCGAAAUUCCUUGUCGGGUAAGUUCCGACCUGCACGAAUGGCGUAACGACUUCCCAACUGUCUCAACCGCGAACUCGGCGAAAUUGCAUUACGAGUAAAGAUGCUCGUUACGCGCAGCAGGACGGAAAGACCCCGUGACCUUUACUACAGCUUGGUAUUGGUGUUCGGUGUGGCUUGUGUAGGAUAGGUGGGAGACGGUGAAGCAUUCACGCCAGUGAGUGUGGAGUCAUUGUUGAAAUACCACUCUGGUCACUCUGGAUAUCUAACUUAGGACCGUGAUCCGGUUCAGGGACAGUGCCUGGUGGGUAGUUUAACUGGGGCGGUUGCCUCCCAAAAUGUAACGGAGGCGCCCAAAGGUUCCCUCAACCUGGUUGGCAAUCAGGUGGCGAGUGUAAGUGCACAAGGGAGCUUGACUGUGAGACUGACAGGUCGAGCAGGGACGAAAGUCGGGACUAGUGAUCCGGCAGUGGCUUGUGGAAGCGCUGUCGCUCAACGGAUAAAAGGUACCUCGGGGAUAACAGGCUGAUCUUGCCCAAGAGUCCAUAUCGACGGCAUGGUUUGGCACCUCGAUGUCGGCUCGUCGCAUCCUGGGGCUGGAGUAGGUCCCAAGGGUUGGGCUGUUCGCCCAUUAAAGCGGUACGCGAGCUGGGUUUAGAACGUCGUGAGACAGUUCGGUCCCUAUCC
rnacentral:rRNA from 1 species